CCCAGUCGUAGCUCAGUUGGUGAGCAUUGCACUAGCAAGCCAAAGGACGAGGGUUCGAUUCCCACCAUUGUGA